ACUGUUUUGGCAGAAUAGUGCAAUAAAUUUAGAAUUUAUAUAAAUAAUAUUUUAUUAUUAUAAAUAGUA
rnacentral:tRNA from 2 species